AAAAGCUGGAAACGGAGUGCCAAUAAAUGGUCUUACAUCCAACUCCAAAAACAAGUUGGAAACAGAUAGCCAAUCAAUGGUCUUACAUCUAACUCCACAAAAGAAAACAGAAUAGGAAACAGAUAGCCAAUCAAUGGUCUUACAUCUGACUCCACAAAAGAAAACAAAAUAGGAAACAGAUAGUCAAUCAAUGGUCUUACAUCUGACUCCACAAACAAAC
rnacentral:lncRNA from 1 species